GCUAUCUACAGGCUUAACACAUGCAAGUCGAGGGGCAUCAGGAAGAAAGCUUGCUUUCUUUGCUGGCGACCGGCGCACGGGUGAGUAACACGUAUCCAACCUGCCCUUUACUCGGGGAUAGCCUUUCGAAAGAAAGAUUAAUACCCGAUGGCAUAAUGAUUCCGCAUGGUUUCAUUAUUAAAGGAUUCCGGUAAAGGAUGGGGAUGCGUUCCAUUAGGUUGUUGGUGAGGUAACGGCUCACCAAGCCUUCGAUGGAUAGGGGUUCUGAGAGGAAGGUCCCCCACAUUGGAACUGAGACACGGUCCAAACUCCUACGGGAGGCAGCAGUGAGGAAUAUUGGUCAAUGGGCGCUAGCCUGAACCAGCCAAGUAGCGUGAAGGAUGAAGGCUCUAUGGGUCGUAAACUUCUUUUAUAUAAGAAUAAAGUGCAGUAUGUAUACUGUUUUGUAUGUAUUAUAUGAAUAAGGAUCGGCUAACUCCGUGCCAGCAGCCGCGGUAAUACGGAGGAUCCGAGCGUUAUCCGGAUUUAUUGGGUUUAAAGGGAGCGUAGGUGGACUGGUAAGUCAGUUGUGAAAGUUUGCGGCUCAACCGUAAAAUUGCAGUUGAUACUGUCAGUCUUGAGUACAGUAGAGGUGGGCGGAAUUCGUGGUGUAGCGGUGAAAUGCUUAGAUAUCACGAAGAACUCCGAUUGCGAAGGCAGCUCACUGGACUGCAACUGACACUGAUGCUCGAAAGUGUGGGUAUCAAACAGGAUUAGAUACCCUGGUAGUCCACACAGUAAACGAUGAAUACCCGCUGUUUGCGAUAUACAGUAAGCGGCCAAGCGAAAGCAUUAAGUAUUCCACCUGGGGAGUACGCCGGCAACGGUGAAACUCAAAGGAAUUGACGGGGGCCCGCACAAGCGGAGGAACAUGUGGUUUAAUUCGAUGAUACGCGAGGAACCUUACCCGGGCUUAAAUUGCAGUGGAAUGAUGUGGAAACAUGUCAGUGAGCAAUCACCGCUGUGAAGGUGCUGCAUGGUUGUCGUCAGCUCGUGCCGUGAGGUGUCGGCUUAAGUGCCAUAACGAGCGCAACCCUUAUCUUUAGUUACUAACAGGUUAUGCUGAGGACUCUAGAGAGACUGCCGUCGUAAGAUGUGAGGAAGGUGGGGAUGACGUCAAAUCAGCACGGCCCUUACGUCCGGGGCUACACACGUGUUACAAUGGGGGGUACAGAAGGCAGCUAGCGGGUGACCGUAUGCUAAUCCCAAAAGCCUCUCUCAGUUCGGAUCGAAGUCUGCAACCCGACUUCGUGAAGCUGGAUUCGCUAGUAAUCGCGCAUCAGCCACGGCGCGGUGAAUACGUUCCCGGGCCUUGUACACACCGCCCGUCAAGCCAUGGGAGCCGGGGGUACCUGAAGUACGUAACCGCAAGGAUCGUCCUAGGGUAAAACUGGUGACUGGGGC
rnacentral:rRNA from 1 species